rnacentral:misc_RNA from 1 species
AACGCACAUUGCACCUUUUGGUAUUCCGAAAGGUAUGCUUGUUCGAGCGUCGUUUAUACCAUAUCAAUUUGAUUAUUGAAUGUAUUGAAGGUCUUGUCCUUUUGGUUUCAUCCUAGGACACCUUCCAAAAUGAUUGAGCGAUCUUGAUUAGACUUGUUUAACGCAUUAAAAUAACUAUCGUUAGAAGAGGAAAUCAUGGAUUUGCCAUAUAAACCCCCGAAUCUGAAAUCCUUUUUUUUCAUUUUCAACCCAUUAUAAAAUAGAUCGACCUCGAAUCAAGUAGGAUUACCCGCUGAACUUAA